UGAUCGGAAGACCUGCUCAUUUCCAUUAGA
rnacentral:piRNA from 1 species